AUAUAUACACACUAUAUACAUUAUAUUGUUAUAUCCAACCCGCAAGAACUCGCAAAAGCAACUUCCUUUUGUGUUUUGAUUAUAGUUCAGCAGAAGCUAGCAGAGAUAUUUUCUGAUUAAUUUGAAGACUAUGAAAACCCCUUGGGCAGGUUUUUAAUAGGGCAACUUCAUUUGAGUUUUUUUUUUUUUCUCUUAAUAUAUGUAUUCACGAAUAAAUUUUCUAAUAUGAAUUUUUCAAGAAAAGACGAGUGGUUGGAGGGCCAUCCUAGGAAAAUUUCAAGUAUGCUCGAUGAUGAGAAAGCCAAUAAAGAUAAUCUUGAUCUUCUUAUUGUUCCUCAAUAUGGAAGAAAUCCAGACUAUACUGGUUAAGUUCGUAUAAAAAAAAUAAUUAUCUUAUUACCUAUUAAUCCUAUGUCGAUUUAGUUUAAUGCAACUGAUAAUCUCUUUAAGAGAUUUGAAAAAUAAAGAACCGAGUUGAUGAAUAAAGCUUCUUCACUACUUUUGCAUUAACGUUGCUGCAUAUAUAUAUAUAUAUAUAUAUAUAUGUGUGUGUGUGUGUACAAUCCUAAAGCCUUAAUAAGGAUAAAAUCCUAAGUUGUCUAAAAUUACAGAUUCACAAUGAUAUACAAAUCUAAUUUCCUUAAAUACAAAACCGACUUUUAUAUGUACCGACUUCU
rnacentral:lncRNA from 1 species